CCAGACUUGAUACACCUAGCCCAGGUGGGGUUGGUCGAGGCCCAACAAAUUAGGGUUGCCCGGAGCCCAACAGUUCAUUAAGCACACCCAACUCAGGGAAAGGCCCAAUCGCCCCAAAAGACUAGUCCAAUGGGGAAGGGUGGCUCUCCGUUUUAAAGUGGCUUCCUCCUCCCAAGUUAAGCGAGGUGGGAUAAUUCUGAGGCUCACACGGUCAACGUCCGACUACAAUUGGGCCAACUGGGCCAAUUACGUCUUUGCCAACAGGUAAUAUUGGAGGAUGUCCUCAUCAUUCCCACCUUCUUAAAAUGGGCCCGAGCUCUGAUACGAGAUGAUACACCUAGCCCAGGUGGGGUUGGCCGAGGCACAACAAAUUAGGGUUGUCCGGAGCCCAACAGUUCAUUAAGCACACCCAACUCAGGGAAAGGCCCAAUCGCCCCAAAAGACUAGUCCAAUGGGGAAGGGUGGCUCUCCCUUUUAAAGUGGCUUCCUCCUCCUCCCAAGUUAAGCGAGGUGGGAUAAUUCUGAGGCUCACACGGUCACUGUCCGACUACAAUUGGGCCAACUGGGCCAAUUACGUCUUUGCCAACGGGUAAUAGUGGAGGAUGUCCUCAU
rnacentral:lncRNA from 1 species